rnacentral:rRNA from 1 species
UACAGAGGGUGCAAGCGUUAAUCGGAUUUACUGGGCGUAAAGCGUGCGUAGGCGGUUCGCUAAGUCGGUUGUGAAAUCCCUGGGCUUAACCUGGGAACUGCAGUCGAUACUGGCGGACUAGAGUACGGUAGAGGGUGGCGGAACUCCGGGUGUAGCGGUGAAAUGCGUAGAUAUCCGGAAGAACACCGAUGGCGAAGGCAACCACCUGGGCCUGUACUGACGCUGAGAUACGAAAGCGUGGGGAGCAAACAGG